rnacentral:rRNA from 1 species
GACGAACGCUGGCGGCGUGCUUAACACAUGCAAGUCGAACGAAGUGGCGAACGGGUGAGAAACGUGUAAUCAACCUGCCCUUCAGAGGGGGAAAACAGUUGGAAACGACUGCUAAUACCGCAUACUGAAGGUGGGGAUUGGGUCUGAUUUGGUAGUUGGAGGGGUAACGGCCCACCAAGGCGAUGAUCAGUGGCCGGUUCGAGGAGAUGAACGGCCACAAUGGGACUGAGACACGGCCCAGACUCCUACGGGAGGCAGCAGUGGGGAAUCUUCCGAAAUGGGGGAAAGUCUGACGGAGCAACGGCGCGUGAGUGAUGACGGCCUUCGGGUUUUAAAGCUAUGUUAAGCGGGACGCGGUACCCGAAUAGGAAGCAACGGCUAACUACGUGCCAGCCGCCGCGGUAAUUC